AACGAACGCUGGCGGCCUGCCUAACACAUGCAAGUCGAACGAGAUCUUCGGGUCUAGUGGCGCACGGGUGCGUAACGCGUGGGAAUCUGCCCUUUGGUUCGGAAUAACAGUUGGAAACGGCUGCUAAUACCGGAUGAUGACGAAAGUCCAAAGAUUUAUCGCCAGAGGAUGAGCCCGCGUAGGAUUAGCUAGUUGGUGUGGUAAAGGCGCGCCAAGGCGACGAUCCUUAGCUGGUCUGAGAGGAUGAUCAGCCACACUGGGACUGAGACACGGCCCAGACUCCUACGGGAGGCAGCAGUGGGGAAUAUUGGACAAUGGGCGAAAGCCUGAUCCAGCAAUGCCGCGUGAGUGAUGAAGGCCUUAGGGUUGUAAAGCUCUUUUACCCGGGAUGAUAAUGACAGUACCGGGAGAAUAAGCUCCGGCUAACUCCGUGCCAGCCGCCGCAGUAA
rnacentral:rRNA from 1 species